AGAGUUUGAUCCUGGCUCAGGAUGAACGCUGGCGGCGUGCCUAACACAUGCAAGUCGAACGUGAAGUCUAUUUCGAUAGACUGAAAGUGGCGAACGGGUGAGUAACACGUUGGUGACCUACCUCGAGGAGGGGGAUAACCGUGGGAAACCAUGGCUAAUACCCCAGAUGUCUAGAUUGUUAGAGGGUCUAGACUAAAGUUCCGACGCCUUGAGAGGGGCCUGCGGGCUAUCAGCUUGUUGGUGGGGUAAUGGCCUACCAAGGCUAAGACGGUUAGGGGGCGUGAGAGCGCGACCCCCCACAAUGGAACUGAGACACGGUCCAUACUCCUACGGGAGGCAGCAGUGAGGAAUAUUGCGCAAUGGGGGCAACCCUGACGCAGCAACGCCGCGUGGACGAUGAAGGCCUUCGGGUUGUAAAGUCCUUUUCUGAGGGACGAUAGUGACGGUACCUCAGGAAUAAGUCCCGGCUAACUACGUGCCAGCAGCCGCGGUAAAACGUAGGGGGCGAGCGUUAUCCGGAUUUACUGGGCGUAAAGCGCACGUAGGCGGCGCUGUAAGUUGGACGUGAAAGCUCCUGGCUCAACUGGGAGAGGUCGUUCAAUACUGCAGUGCUUGAGGUUGGAAGAGGAGAGUGGAAUUCCCGGUGUAGUGGUGGAAUGCGUAGAUAUCGGGAGGAACACCAGUGGCGAAGGCGGCUCUCUGGUCCACACCUAACGCUGAGGUGCGAAAGCGUGGGGAGCGAACGGGAUUAGAUACCCCGGUAGUCCACGCUGUAAACGAUGGAUACUAGGUGUAGGAGGUCAUUUACCCCUUCUGUGCCGUAGCUAACGCGUUAAGUAUCCCGCCUGGGGACUACGGCCGCAAGGUUAAAACUCAAAGGAAUUGACAGGGGCCCGCACAAGCAGCGGAGCGUGUGGUUUAAUUCGAUGAUACGCGAAGAACCUUACCUGGGUUUGACAUGUUGGUAGUAGGGAUCCGAAAGGUGACCGACCCUUCGGGGGGCCAUCACAGGUGCUGCAUGGGCUGUCGUCAGCUCG
rnacentral:rRNA from 1 species